UAAAAAAAUAAGGUAUGCUUCUCGUAAAGCCAGGGCUGACACCAGAAAACGCGUGAAAGGAAGAUUUGUGAAGACUGGCGAAGCAUAUGACUACGACCCUCAGACCCCCUUUGAACUAGAACCUGAUAAAUGAAAGCUUUCUUAUCUUCUAGUUCACUGCAAGAUGAAUAUCAUUGUGGCAGUGGCUAUGAUAAUAUUUCAAUUGUGUCCCGGACACAGGAGCAACACUUGAGUCUUUUUUCCAGCCGUUACCAAAUGUCCUCUUGACAGGCGAGUUGAUGCGGUCUUGGAGAGUGCUUCUACAAUUAAUAAUAUGGAGCAUGAUACUACUUUAGCAGUGAUGAUAUUUUGCCAGGAUUUUCUAGUUCCUAAUAACUGAUUUGCUGUCAUGUCGUGGCGCGAUGCUUCUUCUGUUGCUGUUUUACUAUAUGAAAGGAGGGUUUUGAUGCUCUUUCUAAUCAGAAUCUAGGCAAACAGUCUGACAAUCUCUUGUUAUGCACACAAAAAAUUAGUAAGAACUCACAAGUUCGAAUCAUUUAUCAAAUCUCUCUUGAACUCAAACAGAGCUAUUGUUCUUUUUAAUGAUUCAUAUAUUUUUAAGUAUAGAAAAUUCUUGAUUGUCAAAAGCUAUAGAUAUUCAAUAACAUUAUUACAAAGACGUGAAUGCCUGAGUAUUUAAAUUUCUGCAACUGACCUACAAAAAAUUAAAGAAACAGGAAAGGUCUAAUGAGUUGAUUUCUGUGGUCCGAUUCAACCACAUUUGAUAUAUCAUCAGGGCCGUUUCUGUCACCCCCUUUUGUGCAAACAAUGGUGGGGAGUAUCACUUGAACAGAAGCUCCAAUAAGAUAUCGAUGAGUUAGUGCGUGGCAAUCAGUGCAGAGAAAGCAUCUUAUAUGCCUCAGGGCAAGAAAAUUAGCAGCAUGAACCCUUGCAUCACAAUUUUGGCACAGGAACGCGUCGUCGGCUUGACAGUACACAGAGGCUUCUGAAUCACAAAGCUCACAAAGAAAGGGUGGUGAGAGUUGAGAGCUCUGAUUGUGAUCUUCCUUGCACACACAGGCCUCUCUUAGGCUGGGUAAGCACUCAUUCUUUCUGUCUUCUACUCUUCCCAGGCACAUAUUGUUAUAUUUCUUGUGUGUGAAUGUGUAAUGUAUGAUAUUGGUGAUGAAUGUUACUUCAAGGAGGAUGA